rnacentral:hammerhead_ribozyme from 1 species
GUCAGCUGACGAGUCCCGAAUAGGACGAAAUGCGCGUCCUAGAU